GAAUCAUUGGGCGUAAAGCGCCUGUAGGUUGUUUAAUAAGUCUGUUGUUAAAGACUAGGGCUUAACCCUAGAAAAGCAAUGGAAGCUACUAGACUAGAGUAUGGCAGGGGUAGAGGGAAUUCCUAGUGUAGCGGUGAAAUGCGUAGAUAUUAGAAAGAACACCGGUGGCGAAAGCGCUCUACUGGACCAUUACUGACACUCAGAGGCGAAAGCUAGGGUAGCAAAAGGGAUUAGAUACCCCUGUAGUCCUAGCCGUAAACGAUGGAUACUAGAUGUUGUGCAUAAUGUACAGUAUCGUAGCUAACGCGUUAAGUAUCCCGCCUGGGGAGUACGCUCGCAAGGGUGAAACUCAAAGGAAUUGACGGGGGCCCGCACAAGCGGUGGAGCAUGUGGUUUAAUUCGAUGCAACGCGAAGAACCUUACCAGGGCUUGACAUACUACAAAUUCUUUUGAGAAAAAGAAGUGCCUUCGGGAAUGUAGAUACAGGUGGUGCAUGGCUGUCGUCAGCUCGUGUCGUGAGAUGUUGGGUUAAGUCCCGCAACGAGCGCAACCCUUAUUUUUAGUUACUAAUUCGUUAGGUUCUCUAGAAAGACUGCCGGUGACAGACCGGAGGAAGGUGAGGAUGACGUCAAGUCAGCAUGCCCCUUAUGUCCUGGGCUACACACGUGCUACAAUGGUUAAGACAAAGAGUCGCGAGCUCGCGAGAGUCAGCUAAUCUCAUAAACUUAGCCUAAGUUCAGAUUGUAGGCUGCAACU
rnacentral:rRNA from 1 species